rnacentral:lncRNA from 1 species
UAUAUAUAUAGAAAAAGUUUAUAUAAGCUUUCAACCUAAAAAUGUAGUUUUACAGAUGCACCUAAAAAGUCCAUUGGAAAAGGUUGUUUUAAUGCUGGUAAAACCUCUAAUUGAUCAUCUGGACAUCAAGACAUAUGAGAUGAAAAAAACAAAAUUUGAGUCCUAAAAAUAGUGCAUCUUGCAAUACAUUAUCUAGAUCAUCAAUUUUCAAGAUUGUCAGAUGUUUAUAGAUCUACUUGAUUUUAAUCAUUUUUAGAAUAUAUAUAUACAUAUAUAACAAUUUUUGGAUCCUAUGUGCAUUUUUAGGAUUUGGAUUCGGAUCUGAAUAUUAUGUCUUAAUUUGGAUCUCAUGUAGAUUUUUUAGUUCCGAAUAUUCUUGAUCCAGACCUGAUUCAACCAUUUUCAGCCCUAACAUAUUAUAAUGAAAAGAUUUCACACUCUUGAGAGAGCAUAGUGUUGAUUUACUUUCUCUCUGCCUAAAAGUAUUUUUAGGACCACAAAGUUUGAAAUAAUAAUAAUAAUAAUAAUAGAGUAAUGAUCUUAUGAGACCCUCCCACACUCAUGUGUAGGACCUUAAAGGAUCACCAUUAAACUUGGUACAUAUCUCUAGAAAAGUUAUGAUAUGGGUGUGGGACUUGUCUUUUCUAUAUAUUUGUGUCAAAUUUAAUGGUGAUCCUUUGAGAUCCUAUACAUAUGGGUAUGGGAGGGUCUCAUAAAAUCAUUACUCAUAAUUAAUUAUAAUAGUAAUAAUAAUAUUGUUAUUGUUGUUAUUAUUAUUACUAAUACUAUUGCUAGUACAAUUAGUAUUAUUACUAUUUAAAACACAUUUUAUGUGCGUGAAGAAGAAUCUUCCAACAGUGAACAAGGACCAUCUAAUUUUUGGAGAGAAAAAUUAAAGAGUUAAAAUAAAUAUCACAAACUACUCUCACUUCAACCCAAAUUGUUGCAAAUGUUACAAAUAUGUUAAAUAAGGGAUGCAUAAUUGAGCAGUUCUCUUUUGGCGUGGCUGGUGUUUCUAUGAGGUGG